UUUUAGGUGCUUGCACUUGAAAGAUUUAACAUUGAGACGAGUGGCGAACUGGUGAGUAACACGUGGGUAACCUGCCCUUGAAGUAGGGGAUAACACUUGGAAACAGGUGCUAAUACCGUAUAACAACCAAAACCACCUGGUUUUGGUUUAAAAGACGGCUUCGGCUGUCACUUUAGGAUGGACCCGCGGCGUAUUAGCUUGUUGGUAAGGUAACGGCUUACCAAGGCGAUGAUACGUAGCCGACCUGAGAGGGUAAUCGGCCACAUUGGGACUGAGACACGGCCCAAACUCCUACGGGAGGCAGCAGUAGGGAAUCUUCCACAAUGGACGAAAGUCUGAUGGAGCAACGCCGCGUGAGUGAUGAAGGGUUUCGGCUCGUAAAACUCUGUUGUUGGAGAAGAACAGGUGUCAGAGUAACUGUUGACAUCUUGACGGUAUCCAACCAGAAAGCCACGGCUAACUACGUGCCAGCAGCCGCGGUAAUACGUAGGUGGCAAGCGUUGUCCGGAUUUAUUGGGCGUAAAGCGAGCGCAGGCGGUUUUUUAGGUCUGAUGUGAAAGCCUUCGGCUUAACCGGAGAAGUGCAUCGGAAACCGGGAGACUUGAGUGCAGAAGAGGACAGUGGAACUCCAUGUGUAGCGGUGAAAUGCGUAGAUAUAUGGAAGAACACCAGUGGCGAAGGCGGCUGUCUGGUCUGUAACUGACGCUGAGGCUCGAAAGCAUGGGUAGCGAACAGGAUUAGAUACCCUGGUAGUCCAUGCCGUAAACGAUGAGUGCUAAGUGUUGGGAGGGUUUCCGCCCUUCAGUGCUGCAGCUAACGCAUUAAGCACUCCGCCUGGGGGAGUACGACCGCAAGGUUGAAACUCAAAGGAAUUGACGGGGGCCCGCACAAGCGGUGGAGCAUGUGGGUUUAAUUCGAUGCUACGCGAAGAACCUUACCAGGUCUUGACAUCUUCUGCCAACCUAAGAAGAUUAGGCGUUCCCUUCGGGGACAGAAUGACAGGUGGGUGCAUGGGUUGUCGUCAGCUCCUGUCCUGAAAAUGUUGGGGUUAAGUCCCGCAACGAGCGCAACCCUUAUUGUUAGUUGCCAGCAUUCAGUU
rnacentral:rRNA from 1 species